rnacentral:lncRNA from 1 species
AGCAACAUAUAUAUGCUUGCUUCCUUCCUUCUCUCUCUUUGAAUGAUUUUUUUUCCCUCUCAGCAAUGUAACAAUGAUUUCAUUUUGGGUUUAUGUAUCAUAGUUUGUUUUCUUCAUCAAGUCAUGUUUAUAUUCUUCUUUAUUCACAAUUUAUCAGUUUUCAAGAUCUAUGAAAAUUGGUAAAGUUUUUUUUUUUGGUUUUUUUGCAAUCAGCCCUAGAAUUAACUUAGGAUGUGUUCUCUUUCAUGGAAAAUGGUGAAAUAUAUAUUUUUACAUUUUGUUUUCACAAUUUUUUGAUGAUGUAUACUUUUUUGAGCAGUAUGGAAAAAAAUUCGAA